GGGGGCGUGGUCACCAAGCCAGGCAGAAAGGUGGGACGUGAGGGAGGAAGGUGGCGGGCCGCGUGUCUGAGAGGCUGAACACCCAAUACUAUGGCUUAAAGCAACUAGACUCAGGCAGGAAGCGACAGGGAACAUCAUUUAUCGUGACGUUUUGGGGCUGUCAGAAUCUUUCAGCCUUUUUUGCUCAAAAAAAUACCCAAUGUACUCUCCCUGUAUAAUGAGAGAAAUAAUGCGUCCGAACGAAUGCGGCUUCUUCAGAGAACAUUCUGGACAAAGAAGAAUGGUUUACGAGGAUCGAUCGAUGCUUUGACUAAAUGAAAUACAGCCAAGUUAUUAGGCAGUUUUAUCAUGAUGCCAUAUCCAGACCACGAUGAAUAUCAUUCCAUUUGCUGCAGGAUCUACGGCUGUGCUUACAUAAAAAUCUAUACGGCGUACAAAGAGUAAAGCUUCUAUUUCACUGCUGGAUGACGUCCGUCACACGGGCCCUGAAAUGUUCAGAACUAACAGCUAUUCCAUAAAAAUACGCUGGAAGCCAUAACAUCUGUGACAGAAUGGCAUUAAUAAUUCUCUGCACUUCUAUUGUUUGCAUGCCCCCUGAGUCUUCAUGACUCACUUGAAGGGGUUUCCAAAGAGUUACAGUAUGUAUACAUGGAAAUAAUUCAUAUUGUAAGAAAAGUUGUGCAUUGGAAGUAAAAGACAAAAUCAUUAUGU